rnacentral:rRNA from 1 species
AGCCCUUGACAUCCUGUGUUAACCCAGAGAGAUUUGGGGUCCACUUCGGUGGCGCAGAGACAGGUGCUGCAUGGCUGUCGUCAGCUCGUGUCGUGAGAUGUUGGGUUAAGUCCCGCAACGAGCGCAACCCUCGCCCUUAGUUGCCAGCAUUCAGUUGGGCACUCUAAGGGGACUGCCGGUGAUAAGCCGAGAGGAAGGUGGGGAUGACGUCAAGUCCUCAUGGCCCCUUACGGG